GAUAGUUCAGUUGGUAGAACUGUAGAGACUCUUAAUCUCAGGGUUGUGGGUUAGAGUCCCACGUUGGGCA